GUUGCGGUGGCCGAGUGGUUAAGGCGUUGGACUAAAAAUCCAAUGGGAUCUUCCCGCGCAGGUUCAAAUCCUGCUCGCAACG
rfam:Nematostella vectensis strain CH2 x CH6 NEMVEscaffold_452_Cont27651, whole genome shotgun sequence.